rnacentral:rRNA from 1 species
CCCCUAGAUGUUCUGGGCCGCACGCGCGCUACACUGAACAGUUCAACAAGUCUUAACCUUGGCCGAUGGGCCUGGGUAAUCUUUGAACGUGAAUCGUGAUGGGGAUAGAUGAUUGCAAUUAUUCAUCUUCAACGAGGAAUUCCUAGUAAACGCAAGUCAUCAGUUUGCAUCGAUUACGUCCCUGCCCUUUGUACACACCGCCCGUCGCUGCUACCGAUUGAGUGUCCUGGUGAAUUAUUCGGACCGACAGCAUCGGAAGUUUCUUCUGUUGCCGUUGGAAAGUCUUGUAAACCCUGACACUUAGAGGAAGCAGAAGUCGUAACA